rnacentral:rRNA from 1 species
AACUCGAUAAUCCACGUAUACUCAACCCUCUCUAGACUAUACAGCAUGUAUACUGCCGUUGUAAGCAUACCUUUAAAAGACAAGUAUGCUAUUAUGACUAAUAAUAACUCAUACACAUCAGGUCAAAGUGCAGCCAAUAAGGGGGUGACGAUGGGUUACAACCCUAAAACAGACUAUCAACUAAGAAAUAAAAAAUCUUAUGAAAGUGGACUUGGCCGUAAUUAAUUUACAAGUUAAAAAAAUGAAUAAAAAUCUAAGACAUGUACACAUCGCCCGUCACUCUAUCCUAAAGGUUAGAUAAGUCGUAACAAAGUAGGUGUAAUGGAAAUUGUACCUGUCGAAGUAUAGCAUAUAUAAUGCUUUUUACUUACACUAAAAAUAAAGUUACAAACUUACUUCGCAUAAAUAGAACAAUCUUAUAAAUAUUAAAGUAAUAUAAACAAUUAAAACAAAAAUAAAUAACAAAGUACAGAAAUGGAAAUAACAAUAAACAAAAGUAACCCUUAACAAAUGUACCUUGUGCAUUAUGGUUUUACAAGAAAAUAGUUUAAAACACUAAUCCCGAAUUCUAAAUGAGAUGUUAAACUGCUGUUAAGAACCCAUUAAUAACUGUAGAAAAAGUUCUAAAAGACAGUUUAACAGAGGCUACAUACCAUCCGCAUAAGAAUAUAGCUGGUUUUCAACAAACAUUAUACAUUAAACCAUAUAAUUGUAUUAUAGUGUAAAAUUAUUGAGGAUAAGCCCAAUAAUACAAGCAAUGCCAAAAUUAAACCCAUUUUCCCAAAUAGGCCUAAAAUCAGCCAGCAAAAAUACUUUACCGUAAAAAAUAAAGGUAAAAUAUAUAACACAAACCAUGCCAAAUAAAGUUGAAAUAUAGAGAAAACACUAUCAUCCUGAUUUAAUAUGUAAAAAUAAGUAUUAUAUAAAAUAUUAAUAACAAUCUAGACAUAGCAACACACAAAACAACAAUUAUUAAUUAAGGAACUCGGCAAACCAUUGUUUCGACUGUUUAACAAAAACAUUGUCUCAUGAAUAAUAUAUGAGAUAAU